GGUGGAUGUUCCAGCAGUGGUCGCACACCGUCCCCCAGCUGCCGUUACGGUGCACCUCCACUUUACCGGAGCAGCGGUCCAGACCUCCGAUCUCAACUCAAGCUUCACUUACUAUCUUUUCCUGGAGCUUUCAACUGCUCCAGAAAGCUAGUAAGCAUAUCGGGCUCCUCCAGUGCAGACGGACACGCCCACAGGUUCUCCUCCCGGCCCGUGCAGUUCAGCUCGUCCAGGUGCACGGGUCCUCUGCCCG